rnacentral:rRNA from 1 species
UACGGAGGGGGCUAGCGUUGUUCGGAAUUACUGGGCGUAAAGCGCACGUAGGCGGCUUUGUAAGUUAGAGGUGAAAGCCCGGGGCUCAACUCCGGAAUUGCCUUUAAGACUGCAUCGCUAGAAUUGUGGAGAGGUAAGUGGAAUUCCGAGUGUAGAGGUGAAAUUCGUAGAUAUUCGGAAGAACACCAGUGGCGAAGGCGACUUACUGGACACAUAUUGACGCUGAGGUGCGAAAGCGUGGGUAGCAAACGGG